rnacentral:rRNA from 1 species
AACGAACGCUGGCGGUAUGCCUAACACAUGCAAGUCGAACGAGACCUUCGGGUCUAGUGGCGCACGGGUGCGUAACGCGUGGGAACCUGCCCUUAGGUUCGGAAUAACUCCCCGAAAGGGGUGCUAAUACCGGAUAAUGUCUUCGGACCAAAGAUUUAUCGCCUUUGGAUGGGCCCGCGUUGGAUUAGCUAGUUGGUAGGGUAAAAGCCUACCAAGGCGACGAUCCAUAGCUGGUCUGAGAGGAUGAUCAGCCACACUGGGACUGAGACACGGCCCAGACUCCUACGGGAGGCAGCAGUGGGGAAUAUUGGACAAUGGGCGAAAGCCUGAUCCAGCAAUGUCGCGUGAGUGAUGAAGGCCUUAGGGUUGUAAAGCUCUUUUACCCGGGAUGAUAAUGACAGUACCGGGAGAAUAAGCUCCGGCUAACUCCGUG